rnacentral:rRNA from 1 species
UUUGGUGACGAUAGCAAAGAGGAUACACCUGUUCCCAUCCCGAACACAGUAGUUAAGCUCUUUAGCGCCGAUGGUAGUUGGGGGUUUC